rnacentral:rRNA from 1 species
AUUGAACGCUGGCGGCAGGCCUAACACAUGCAAGUCGAACGGUAGCACAGAGAGCUUGCUCUCGGGUGACGAGUGGCGGACGGGUGAGUAACGUCUGGGAAACUGCCCGAUGGAGGGGGAUAACUACUGGAACCGGUAGCUAAUACCGCAUAACGUCGCAAGACCAAAGUGGGGGACCUUCGGGCCUCACACCAUCGGAUGUGCCCAGAUGGGAUUAGCUAGUAGGUGGGGUAAUGGCUCACCUAGGCGACGAUCCCUAGCUGGUCUGAGAGGAUGACCAGCCAACCUGGAGCUGAGACACGGUCCAGACUCCUACGGGAGGCAGCAGUGGGGAAUAUUGCACAAUGGGCGCAAGCCUGAUGCAGCCAUGCCGCGUGUAUGAAGAAGGCCUUCGGGUUGUAAAGUACUUUCAGCGGGGAGGAAGGCGGUGGAGUUAAUAACUUCACCGAUUGACGUUACCCGCAGAAGAAGCACCGGCUAACUCCGUGCCAGCCGCCGCCGUAA